UACGUAGGGUGCGAGCGUUGUCCGGAAUUAUUGGGCGUAAAGAGCUUGUAGGCGGUUUGUCGCGUCUGCUGUGAAAAUCCGGGGCUCAACCCCGGACUUGCAGUGGGUACGGGCAGACUAGAGUGUGGUAGGGGAGACUGGAAUUCCUGGUGUAGCGGUGAAAUGCGCAGAUAUCAGGAGGAACACCGGUGGCGAAGGCGGGUCUCUGGGCCGUAACUGACGCUGAGGAGCGAAAGCAUGGGGAGCGAACAGG
rnacentral:rRNA from 1 species